GGUCUGCUGGCCUAAUGGAUAAGGCACCCGCCUCCGGAGCGGGAGAUUCACGGUUCGAGUCCGUGGUAGAUCA